UGUAAGUUGACCGAGACGUCCUGACUGUAAGCCCUUCAGGAGGUUUGCGGCCCCCUCGAUGGCCUUGGGGAUCUCGGCAGGGGAAGGAGGGACAAGUUCAACACGGGCAUAGUACCAGAAUUUUGCUAGCCGGGGCUUUGAGUAGUUGACGGAGGCUGUGAGAGAAGAAAAACUGAAAUGUACCAAGUGAUGCCCACCUGGGUGUUAAACUCCAGCCCAACGAGAGUGAUGGUGGUGAGAGAUAUCUGUUCUCCACUCUGUCUCACUCUGUCAACUAUCUCUUCAUGCUUCAAUGACUCUACUGACUCCCCGUUGACCUCCAGCAGCAGCUCUCCAUCCUUCAUACCGGCCUUCUCUGCUGGACUGCCACUCUCCAUUGCACGCAGAACAUGAGCUAAUAUUUAAAAACAUUUUUUUUUACUGCAAGUUAAAAAGUAAGUUCAGGAAUGCCUGUGUUUGAAAUGUGCUCUCUUUUUAUCCUCUCACAUUUGCAUCCUGAUGGUGCCUUCUCCAGCCGAAGGAGGAAGCCGUAGCCCUCGCCCUCUGACACCAGGUGGAGUCUUCUGGCUCUGUGAGGCAGGUUAUGUGGAACAGCCAUGGCAGGCAAAAUGGGCCUCCUCUGACGCAGAGCCCACCAUACCUCAGGGUGAGGGACAUCUUCCACAAAGCAGUUGUUGACUUCCAGAAGCCUGUCUCCCUCCUGAAGGCCACUGCACCCCGCCACCCCUCCUGACACUACAUUUCUGAUGAUGUGUCCCUGGCGUCCCCUCUCCACCCGCAGAUUAAAGCCGUAGGACUGCCCUUCGUCUCGUUUAAGAACACACAGAUGUGGGCUGGGCGUCAACACAGAGUCUGAGCGGAAGCAGACAGAAGGUGCAUUAGAGCUGGUGGGGUAACAGAUACACAGAAAUAAGUAUGCAGGAUUAUACCUGCAUCUUCUGUGGUGACCAUCACUGGGUUGUCUAUUCCCUCUUUCGGAUUAAAUGUAAAUUUCCUGCAAAAAGAUAAAUGAUAGACAUUACGCUCAUGUUUUACUUAUAAUUAUAAUAAUUGGAUAUUAAAAUGUUCAGUUUUGGAAAAAAGGAAAAAAUGUACAUUUUCUUUCCUUACUGUUUGGGCUAAAUGUACAUGAAAGUCAAUCAAUAAUUUUCCAUCUUUUGUUACAUAUUAGUUUCACCACCUCACGUGUAAUUAUCAUUACAACAUGCCAACCUUGUCUUGGGCCCAAAGUAUAAAGAUUACUUUGUUCCAAAAGUCAUAUCACACGUCACAAGACGUAUACUUUAAAAAAAAAUCAUAGUUAUGUAGUAGACUUUAAUGUGAUCCAGCUGUUUUGGCGAGACAUGAAUGUGUAGUUCUGUUUUAGGAUGAAUGUCCAACUUUGUUUUAUGUCGUGCCUGAUCAUUUUAUCAUUAUUUUUGUCGUAAUGGCGGAAUAGUGUUCAUGUUUUUUCUUGAGUUUAAAGUGAAAAUAACAUAUAUGAGGAUUUUACUAAAUAUAUUAAUAUUGGUGCAAACAAUUACAAACAAAAAGCACACUUACUCUGUCAACUGAGUGAUUUCCACACCUUGAAAAACAGAUUUCAUAUGAAUUAAUUAGCUUUGGCAGAACAAUAUCCAUGGAGAGACAUUUCAUAAUAAGACAUUUCUGUAAGUAAUUUGUAUUUACUAUAUACAUUUUUUUUCCCUUAACACGACACACAUCACACCAAAUGUAGCAUUGCAACACAAAUCAUCAAGUAUUAUGUGUCACAUGUCCAAUUAUGGUAUAUUCAUUUGAGUGUGUCUGCGUGCUUGAGCCUACUAAACUGCGAGGCAACAGCAUAACAGUAAGAUUUGAGCCUCGGAAAACAUAUCUGGUGACUUUAUCUGGUAGGCACCAUAAAACAGGGUUUGAUUUUGUGUAAUCCUCUUUAGUCUUUGCCCUCUAAAAAAGGGAGGGAUUCAAAGGACAUCAAAAACCUUUAAGAUGGAAAUGUCCAACAAACAUGUCACCCAUUAUCGAAGCCGCUGAAGCCAGUCAUUCUUAAAUGAUUAAUAUCAAUGCAAACAAUUUCAUAAUUAGUUCAUGGGUUUAAUCUUUUUUAGAUAUAUGUAUAUAUAACAGAGUAUACAUUACAAUUAUACAACAAUCUCAAAAAAAAGCAUUGUCCCGUUUAUGAAAACAAGUCUGGUUCACAGGACAACUACACUACUAAUAUUAAAUGAUUAUAAAAUAAUAAAACCUUAAGCAUCUGCAGCAGUAAAAUAACACACCCAUGUUAUGCUUCAGUAUUUUUCAUCCAAAACAUCACUAACACUGACAAAGAAGGUGUUACUACACAAUUUACUUAUUAUGUUGUAUGGUUUCUGUUAUUGAAGUAAUGUUUUGUAUCUAACACUAUCAAAUCCAAAUGUCAACAGAUGACACAUUAAACUCACUGAUCUGUACUCUGCUUAUCUGCCUGACUCAUAAUGUCAAUGACACAGAGUGCUUGUUUCUUUGACACAUUGUCACCUAAAACAAACUGUUACAAAUGAAUAAUACAACCCGUUUAGCUACCCUCUGCUCCCAGAUAAGAUCCAUCUCUCACAUCUAUGUAAGCGGCCCCUCUCAUGAAUAGCUCAUACCACGGGCAUUUCAGAGCAGCUAAUGGGUCACUGUUUGUUUUUCCUUACCAUAAAGCUUCUUUUUAAUGUCAUAGGUCAGAGAGGUCUUAUAAACACACAAAAUGAGCUUCUGAAACUGGAUGAGAGGAGAAUUUUCCGUUGUGAACCAUAACAUUUAGAACAGCUUUUUCAAUCUCGGAAGUGCUAUUAGGACAAACAUGGAUUUUUGUCCAACGAAUCAAGGUUUAGAAAUCUAGUGUUCAAUUUAGAAGCUCUAUUUCUUUACACAUACGGGCAAUGGUUGUGCGUCAUCUAAAUGUGAUCAUUCAUGCAGCACAGUAGACUACAAACAAAUCACAUUAAUAUGUUGAAAGAGAUAAAUAUAAAAGCACAGCAUGCAUAAGACAGUGCAUAUAAGAUAGUUUUACAAAAUAAAGUAGGAAAUGUGAAUUACCUGUACUUGAUUUCAUGUUGUGUCUCUUACCCAUCACAGAGGGAUGUUGCUGUGGGAGGACUGCACGUACAAACAUUUAUUCUGACUACACAGAGACUCCUCCCUUUGAAAGACACCUGGCUUAAUGUUUAAUCUGUGUGUGAACUUUUGAGCACGUGUAACCAUGUGUUACGUCUGACUGUAGAAACAAAGUGCAAAACACAUAACAAGGUCUUACUCCCCGUUCUGUCUGAAUAAAAUCUUAUUCUACUCGGAUAGUUACAACUA